UCUGUGCUACUUGUAUUAAAACAAGAAAGAAUGAGUUAAGAAGGUUCAAGGAAAGUUAAUCGAGUUAGUAAGAAUAUCGUUAUAUAUACAUGGUUUCCUUAAGUAUCCCAAGGCGACACGGUUACCUAAAGGGUGUGGAAUCGCGCUAUGAGUAUGUAUAUGAAGUAAUGCGAGUGACCUUUUAAAGUAUUUGUGAUUAUUAGUAAUGAUAUAGAGGGUGGACAAAAGAUAUGAAUAUACUUUUGCGAUUGGAGUUUCGUCAAAGCUUUGUGAGUUCUCUAGUUAUGUUUAAGGUUAUUGUGAGUCUCUGGACCCUUCAAGAUGUGUAUAUGGAUUUUUUUAUUGAUGUAUAUAAGUGUGUAUAUGUAUGCAUAAGAGGUUACAUAAGGUUGGAAGAGGAUUAGAAGUUAAACGAAAUGAAUCGGAACAACUUCAGUAAAAUUUCGGACCCGAUUUUAGUCUAUAUUGUAGGAGGCAUAUCUCCUUGAAUAUGAGGAGUUUUAAGGUGUUUCAAAAGCCUAAAAUGAAGUUCAUCGAGUCUAGUUUGUAAUGCAACAAACCGCUCGUCAAAAUGAUAUCGGGAUAAGGAGAUAUGGACGAUGCAAGUUGGGCUGGCAGGGCAGCAAGUUUGGACCCGACCCAAACACUCACAUUUCGGCCCAUGAGGCCCAUUAAACUCAAUAGAUAAGUCACCACUUUGCCCUAUAUCAUUUCACACGACCUAAAACAGAUCCAAAACCCUUAUUUUCUCUCCCAAACCCCCUUUCUAAUUGAGCCAUCAUAUAAGCUAAAUCCUAGACCCUUGACAUGAUAUUAGUUAAAGAGAAGUUGUAGCUUAAGUUUUUUUUGUGUUGUUAAGCAAGCAGCUGGAAAGAGGAACAAGAUUCUUGAAGAUUCUGAUUGCUAAAGGUAAUUUCAACCUCCCACUCAUGUUAUCAAUUUGGAUUAAAGGUUUAAUAUGGUGUAUACGUGAAGGAAACGUUGAUAUACAAGCUAGAGAGAGAGAGAGAGCAUAAGCCAUGGCAUUCGGCCAUGGCUAGCAAAAUUGGAGCUCAAAUUUGUUGAUCCAAAAAUCAGAUUUUCUAGGUAUUUCAGCCCUUAGGAAGGUGAUAAUAACGUGGAGAAUUCAUUUGGAGCAACAAGAACAAGUAUUAGUGCAUUUCACAAAUUCUAGCUAAGUGGAAAAAGCCAACUUGUUAAGACCUUGGGGAGCCCGAGGCGUAGAUUGGAAUUUACUUUAGAUUGGCUAUCUUGGAGUGCGUACGAGCGUCGGGAGGGUGGCCACGUUCUGUUUGCCGAGUCCCUUGGCAGGGGCCGGAUUUGAUAUGACAUAUGUUUCUGUACACACUCCGCAUGUUUUGAAGAUAUGUAUUUGAUACUUUGGAUUUUCUACUCACUUUUUCUGUACGUUCUGUACCAGUUAUGAUUUUGGUUCUGUAAUUCAGGCUUUACAUAUUCAGUACAUAUUUCGUACUGACCCCCUUUCUUCGGGGGCUGCGUUUUCAUGCCGCGCAGGUACCGACGACAGGUUUGCUGAUCCGUCCGUCUAGGAUAUCUUUUCUGCCAUUUGGAGCGCUCUUUUAUUCAGAGCCCAUCUUUUGGUACAGUCUGUCACUACUGUAUAUAUAUAUAUAUUCUCGUUCAUGGGUACGGCGGGGCCCUGUCCCGUUAUAUGAUUUCGUCGGUCUGUUUAGAGGUCUGUAGACAUGUUUGUGGGUUAGGGUCUUUCUGUACGGAUGCGUGUAUAUGUUGUGUUUGGGCGAUCUCAUUCGCCGCGGUGGCCGGUCCGCAUAUGUUUAAAUGUUGCUUUGUUGGCCCUGGGUGGUCAUUGUUGGUAUUAUCUGUGCGCAGGGUUAAUUUGGAUAGUCUGUAAAACAAAGGAAACUCUGCCGAAAUUUUUCUGGAAAUUAUCUAAAUAUUGAAAUAUAGCCUUGUCGGCUUCUGCUA